rnacentral:snoRNA from 1 species
CAGCCAAUAAAAAUGACAGAUGGCAACAUGGUCUCUUAGAGCCUUUAGGGGGCUGUAGCCCUGCCCUCGAACAUGAAUCUGCAGAUUCUACAGCA